GUGGAGAUCGGCUGGCCCCUCGCACACUCAGCCCAGACGACAAACAGUUAUGGGGACUUUCUGAACGGCUUAGUCCACUUGAGUUAGAAAGCCAAAGCCUGCCACACGUCAUUGGAUGCGUGAGGCUUGGGGCAGAGGACCGGUAGAAAAAUGUCCUGACUCAUAUGGUAUGCGGAGACCAUCUUAGGGAGGAAUGAGGGGCGUGGGCGAAGCUGGACCUUGUCCUUGUGAAAAACCACGUACAGGGGUUUGGAGGUCAGGGCCCUGAGCUCCGAGACUUGUCUAGCUGACAUGAUAACCAGAAAUGCCGCCUUCCACGAAAGGUGAGACCAGGAGCAUGUGGCCAACGGCUCAUAUGGGGGCCCCGUGAGAUGAGCUAAGACCAGGUUUAAGUCUCACUGUGGAACCGGGAGUCUAGAGUACAGGAAGAGGCAUUCCAGACCUUUAAGGAACCGGCCAGUCAUAGCAUGGGAGAACACCCUGUGUCCUUGUACUGGCGGAUGGAAGGCCGAUAUGGCCGCCAGGUGCACCUUGACUGACAAGGAGGGCCCAGGGACUGGCGCCCUCAGGUGGAGGAGAUAAUCAAGGACAAGCUGGAGAGGGGCAGACACUGGGGAGACACCCUGGUCUGUCGCCCACUUAGAGAAUCGUGACCACUUAGCCAAGUAAGCGCGGCGAGUGGAGGGCCGUCUACUUUCAAGGAGGACGCGCUGAACCUGUUCUGAACACGCCCUCUCCUCUCCCAACCAUUGAGCAGCCACGCUGUAAGAUGGAGAGCCACCAGGUUGGGGUGGAGGAAGCGGCCCUGAUCCUGAGACAGCAAGUCCGGGCGGAGUGGUAACUGCCAUGGCAGAGCUACGGCCAGGCUCAUGAGGGUCCCGAACCAGCACUGCCUGGGCCACGCUGGGGCAAUCAGGAGGACCCGGGCCUUGUCCAACUUUAUCUUUUCCAGGACCCUGCUGAUUAGAGGGAACGGGGGAAAGGCGUAGAGGAGCCUGCAUGACCAGGACAGGAGAAAUGCAUCGGAGAUAGUGCCCCUUCCCAGGCCCCCCCAAAGCAAAACCGGGGGCAUCACCGGUUCUGUUGAGAUGCAAACAGGUCCACCUGGGGAGUUCCCCACCUUUGGAAGAGCUGGUGGGCCACUUCCAGGUGGAGGGACCACUCGUGUUGCGAGGAGAAGUCCAUGCUUAGGCGAUCUGCUCAUCUCGUUCUGGGUGCCCGCAGGCCAAAGGCGGUGCACGUUAACAGGAGGAGCGGUACAUGAUCCCUCACCUGCGACCGGGAGGUGCCCUUGACAAGCCAAUCGACCAGAUAUAAGGAAAUAUCUGGACCCCCCAGCGUCUGAGACAGGGCUUUCCCAUCAAACGGGAGGUCCUGCAUGGAAGACUGCGCCUCGCUGGACAGCCCAGAGAGUAAGAGCCAUGACGCCCGUCUCAUGGACACCACUGAGGCCAUCGAUUGUGCGGCCGUGUCCACAGCAUCUGAGGCAGCCUGUAGGGGAGCUCAAGCUGCCGUUGCCCCUUCCUCCACGAGCACCCUGAACUCCUUCUUAUCAUGCCCCUGGAGGGAGUCCUCAAAUUUGGGCAGGAAGCCCCACAGACUGAAUUUGUACUGACCCAGGA